rnacentral:rRNA from 1 species
AUUGAACGCUGGCGGCAGGCCUAACACAUGCAAGUCGAACGAGUGGCGGACGGGUGAGUAAUGUCUGGGAAACUGCCUGAUGGAGGGGGAUAACUACUGGAAACGGUAGCUAAUACCGCAUACCAUCGGAUGUGCCCAGAUGGGAUUAGCUAGUAGGUGGGGUAAAGGCUCACCUAGGCGACGACCCCUAGCUGGUCUGAGAGGAUGACCGCCAACACGGGACCUGGGAAACGGUCCAGCUCCCAAGGGGAGGCAGCAUGGGGGAAUAUUGCACAAUGGGCGCAAGCCUGAGGCAGCCAUGCCGCGGUUAUGAAGAAGGCCUUCGGUUUGUAAAGAACUUUCAGCGGGGAGGCGUUACCCGCAGAAGAAGCACCGGCUAACUCCGUGCCAGCAGCCGCGGUAAUAC